GGCAAAUCCGGAAAAUCAAGGCUGAGGCGUGAUGACGAGGCACUACGGUGCUGAAGCAACAAAUGCCCUGCUUCCAGGAAAAGCCUCUAAGCAUCAGGUAACAUCAAAUCGUACCCCAAACCGACACAGGUGGUCAGGUAGAGAAUACCAAGGCGCUUGAGAGAACUCGGGUGAAGGAACUAGGCAAAAUGGUGCCGUAACUUCGGGAGAAGGCACGCUGACACGUAGGUGAAGUGAUUUACUCAUGGAGCUGAAGUCAGUCGAAGAUACCAGCUGGCUGCAACUGUUUAUUAAAAACACAGCACUGUGCAAACACGAAAGUGGACGUAUACGGUGUGACGCCUGCCCGGUGCCGGAAGGUUAAUUGAUGGGGUCAGCGCAAGCGAAGCUCCUGAUCGAAGCCCCGGUAAACGGCGGCCGUAACUAUAACGGUCCUAAGGUAGCGAAAUUCCUUGUCGGGUAAGUUCCGACCUGCACGAAUGGCGUAAUGAUGGCCAGGCUGUCUCCACCCGAGACUCAGUGAAAUUGAACUCGCUGUGAAGAUGCAGUGUACCCGCGGCAAGACGGAAAGACCCCGUGAACCUUUACUAUAGCUUGACACUGAACAUUGAGCCUUGAUGUGUAGGAUAGGUGGGAGGCUUUGAAGUGUGGACGCCAGUCUGCAUGGAGCCGACCUUGAAAUACCACCCUUUAAUGUUUGAUGUUCUAACGUGGACCCGUGAUCCGGGUUGCGGACAGUGUCUGGUGGGUAGUUUGACUGGGGCGGUCUCCUCCUAAAGAGUAACGGAGGAGCACGAAGGUUGGCUAAUCCUGGUCGGACAUCAGGAGGUUAGUGCAAUGGCAUAAGCCAGCUUGACUGCGAGCGUGACGGCGCGAGCAGGUGCGAAAGCAGGUCAUAGUGAUCCGGUGGUUCUGAAUGGAAGGGCCAUCGCUCAACGGAUAAAAGGUACUCCGGGGAUAACAGGCUGAUACCGCCCAAGAGUUCAUAUCGACGGCGGUGUUUGGCACCUCGAUGUCGGCUCAUCACAUCCUGGGGCUGAAGUAGGUCCCAAGGGUAUGGCUGUUCGCCAUUUAAAGUGGUACGCGAGCUGGGUUUAGAACGUCGUGAGACAGUUCGGUCCCUAUCUGCCGUGGGCGCUGGAGAACUGAGGGGGGCUGCUCCUAGUACGAGAGGACCGGAGUGGACGCAUCACUGGUGUUCGGGUUGUCAUGCCAAUGGCACUGCCCGGUAGCUAAAUGCGGAAGAGAUAAGUGCUGAAAGCAUCUAAGCACGAAACUUGCCCCGAGAUGAGUUCUCCCUGAGACUUAAAGUCUCCUGAAGGAACGUUGAAGACGACGACGUUGAUAGGCCGGGUGUGUAAGCGCAGCGAUGCGUUGAGCUAACCGGUACUAAUGAACCGUGAGGCUUAACCUUACA
rnacentral:rRNA from 1 species